rnacentral:rRNA from 1 species
GAUGAACGCUGGCGGCGUGCCUAAUACAUGCAAGUCGAGCGAACAGACGAGGAGCUUGCUCCUCUGACGUUAGCGGCGGACGGGUGAGUAACACGUGGAUAACCUACCUAUAAGACUGGGAUAACUUCGGGAAACCGGAGCUAAUACCGGAUAAUAUAUUGAACCGCAUGGUUCAAUAGUGAAAGACGGUUUUGCUGUCACUUAUAGAUGGAUCCGCGCCGCAUUAGCUGGUUGGUAGGGUAACGGCUUACCAAGGCAACGAUGCGUAGCCGACCUGAGAGGGUGAUCGGCCACACUGGAGCUGAGACACGGUCCAGACUCCUACGGUAGGCAGCAGUAGGGAAUCUUCCGCAAUGGGCGAAAGCUUGACGGAGCAACGCCGCGUGAGUGAUGAAGGUCUUCGGAUCGUAAAACUCUGUUAUUAGGGAAGAACAAAUGUGUAAGUAACUAUGCACGUCUUGACGGUACCUAAUCAGAAAGCCACGGCUAACUACGUG